GGUCCUGUGGUGUAAUGGUUACACAUCCUCUGUCUGUGCAUGUGUGCAGGUACAGUUUAUGAGGCAGUUCCCUGUUCGAAUCAGGGUGGGGCCA